rnacentral:tRNA from 1 species
GGGGCUGUGGCUCCAUGGCUGAGCAUCUGCCUGGCAUGCAGAAAAUCUCAUGUUCAAUCCCUAACAUUCCCA